rnacentral:rRNA from 1 species
UACGUAGGGUGCGAGCGUUAAUCGGAAUACUGGGCGUAAAGCGUGCGCAGGCGGUGAUGUAAGACCGAUGUGAAAUCCCCGGCUUAACCUGGGAACUGCAUUGGUGACUGCAUCGCUCGAGUAUGGCAGAGGGGGCAGAAUUCCACGUGUAGCAGUGAAAUGCGUAGAGAUGUGGAGGAACACCGAUGGCGAAGGCAGCCCCCUGGGUCAAGAUUGACGCUCAUGCACGAAAGCGUGGGGAGCAAACAGG